CCUACGGGCGGCAGUAGUGGGGAAUAUUGGACAAUGGGCGAAAGCCUGAUCCAGCCAUGCCGCGUGUGUGAAGAAGGCCUUCGGGUUGUAAAGCACUUUCAGUGGGGAAGAAAGCCUUGGGGCUAAUACCCUCGAGGAAGGACAUCACCCACAGAAGAAGCACCGGCUAACUCCGUGCCAGCAGCCGCGGUAAUACGGAGGGUGCGAGCGUUAAUCGGAAUUACUGGGCGUAAAGCGCGCGUAGGCGGUCUGAUAAGCCGGUUGUGAAAGCCCCGGGCUCAACCUGGGAACGGCAUCCGGAACUGUCAGGCUAGAGUGCAGGAGAGGAAGGUAGAAUUCCCGGUGUAGCGGUGAAAUGCGUAGAGAUCGGGAGGAAUACCAGUGGCGAAGGCGGCCUUCUGGACUGACACUGACGCUGAGGUGCGAAAGCGUGGGUAGCAAACAGGAUUAGAUACCCGAGUAGUC
rnacentral:rRNA from 1 species